rnacentral:rRNA from 1 species
CCCUUAGAUGUCCUGGGCUGCACGCGCGCUACACUGAUGUGUCCAGUAAGCACCUAACCUCUUCCGAAAGGAACGGGUAACCUUUGCAAAGCACAUCGUGAUGGGGAUAGAUUAUUGCAAUUAUUAGUCUUGAACGAGGAAUUCCUAGUAAGCACAAGUCAUCAGCUUGUGUUGAUUACGUCCCUGCCCUUUGUACACACCGCCCGUCGCUCCUACCGAUUGAAUGUUCCGGUGUGCUCUUCGGACUGCGCGGUCUGCAGUUUCUGCGUUCCGUGCGGAAAGUUGCGCAAACCUUAACAUUUAGAGGAAGGAGAAGUCGUAACA